UACUCGCUCGGGCUACUGGAAGCUAGCUAUGCUAACUACGCUAACUAUCGGGAAAAACAUCGUUUUCGGAGCUUUGUAACGUUACUAAAUCCACUUUUAAACGUUACCGAUCCGACGUGGACGGCGUAACCGUGACGAUGGACCCGCAGAAGGACGCCGUGGUGACGGAGUUGAAGAGGAAGCUAGAGAAUGGAGACCUGGACCAGGACCAGGACCAGGACCGAGACCUGGAGCAGAAACUCACUCUGCUGAACAACAGCUUAAACAAGGCUCUGAACGCGGCGGCGCUG